CAGCAGCCACGGUAAUACGUAGGUCCCGAGCGUUGACCGGAUUUAUUGGGCGUAAAGCGAGCGCAGGCGGUUAGAUAAGUCUGAAGUUAAAGGCUGUGGCUUAACCAUAGUACGCUUUGGAAACUGUUUAACUUGAGUGCAAGAGGGGAGAGUGGAAUUCCAUGUGUAGCGGUGAAAUGCGUAGAUAUAUGGAGGAACACCGGUGGCGAAAGCGGCUCUCUGGCUUGUAACUGACGCUGAGGCUCGAAAGCGUGGGGAGCAAAUGGGAUUAGAUACCCCAGUAGUCCCUGUCUCUUAUACC
rnacentral:rRNA from 1 species